CGUAGGCGGACGGGUGAGUAACGCGUGGGUAACCUGCCUCAUACAGGGGGAUAACGGUUAGAAAUGACUGCUAAUACCGCAUAAGCGCACAGUACCACAUGGUACGGUGUGAAAAACUCCGGUGGUAUGAGAUGGACCCGCGUCUGAUUAGCUAGUUGGUGGGGUAACGGCCCACCAAGGCGACGAUCAGUAGCCGACCUGAGAGGGUGACCGGCCACAUUGGGACUGAGACACGGCCCAG
rnacentral:rRNA from 1 species